rnacentral:rRNA from 1 species
UACGGGGGGGGCAAGCGUUGUUCGGAAUUACUGGGCGUAAAGGGCUCGUAGGCGGCCAACUAAGUCAGACGUGAAAGCCCCCGGCUCAACCGGGGAAUUGCGUUCUGAACUGGACGGCUGGAGUGGGAUAGAGGUGUGCGGAACUUCCGGUGGAGCGGUGAAAUGUGUUGAUAUCGGAAGGAACGCCGGUGGCGAAAGCGGCACACUGGGUCUCAACUGACGCUGAGGCACGAAAGCCAGGGGAGCGAACGGG